CAUAUCAUUUCUCUUGUGUUAAUAAGCGUAACAAAAAUUGGAGCCUGUAAUAAAUAUAAUAUUUAUUUUAAUUAUAAAUCUUUUGAUAUAAAAAAUAUAUUUGUGUACGUGUUACACAAGGCAUUAAAAAGUCAAUUAUUAUGCAAUUCCUUAACCCAUCGAACCCAACCAAUCAUUCACCUAAGACCUAAAUAUCCCAAAAAAUUCGUGACAAAAAGGAGAGCUAGUGAGCGAGCAAUGAAAAGAAUGCCAAGUACCACAGUGGCAUCAGGAUAGCAGAAAAAUAAAUCUGGCUUCCCUCGGGAUAAAGCGUUGCUUUGAAAGUUCCGCGGUCGAACGACAUGCGCACUCCAUGUCGGCCAUUGAUUUUCAUUGUCAGGUGGGCUAUUAUCGGUUCAAAUGAAUGGCAGCUGUCGUUUCUCUUGUUUUAUCCUCCUCCUCCCUGUUCAUCGCUGCGGACGAGAUUGCCGCGAAAUAAUAACAGAGGCUGCGUGCACCAGCACUCGUUUAUGGCGCCCCAUUAUGCCAAGAGGCGCGCCAAGGGGGCAUGGCAUUUUUUGUCAGUCGGUCGAAGGAUCAGAAAAGACCGCCUCCGUCUUCCGUUACUCGCUUUUUUUUCUACUCUUCAACUCUGGUGUUUCUCGAUCAGCGCCAUCAUUGUCUUGCAGUCGUCGUGACUCGCGGCGUAGAAGCAAUCCCGUCGCCAUUCGAAAGACACGCUGCAUCUCAAAUUGCCAGGAGGCCAGCAACCAACAGGAGCUCAACAUCGAUGUCAAGCAUGUAUCGUUUAUUGUCAAGUUCCUCUCCCGGUUAACGUUUCGAUAUAUUGAACGUAUUGACAUGCCACGCACUCUGGCGAGCGACUUUAUAAAUUGUAUCGAUACGUGAGCCAUGAGCGGAAGCGCUGCGGUCGACGUACGGCGAUGUGCGCAACAACUGGCGCUCUUCCUAUAUGCGUAUAUUACUUAAUAUUUAAUCAUAUACGUAUAGAUAUUUUCAAAGCAGCAAAUUGUCAAAAUGAUUUAUAUAUUGGAUAAAAGGUAUCUGGAAAGAAGAUAGAAGUAGGAAUGCCAGCAAUGGAUGUUUAAAUAGGAUAUGUUACGGUUACGCGUAGUUGUACCAAUGGAUAAUAUAUGCAGCAUCUAUGAAUAUGAAAGUUACAGAGUUACUAAGAAAACAUACUAAGCUUCAAGUAGUUCUCCAGUUGUGUCUUUUAUAUGGAACUAUAUAAUUUGUGAAACUCUACGUAACAGCCUGAAAUAGGCCAUUACAAAAAAUUAUGAAUAAUGAUAAUGAACUUAUUUUCUAACUCUUGUUUUGUAUUAUUUUGAAACAUUUUUAGAUAAAGAAACACGGACUAACCGUUCAAAGGACUACUAUCCUGAUCCUGCAAGGACGAUAUGUCACGUGGUUUUGCAAUAGAGGGGAUACUAUUACAUGCUUACCCCAAAAUCUGCUCGCCUAAUACAAAACUGGUCGUCUGCUUGAAUUUUCGAUUGACGAGUAUUCGACAGCCGAUCAACAGCAACUAAUAUAUUCUUCAAAAAUAAUUAUAUGACAGGGAGCGAUACUGGUAUACGUGACUCAGCUACGCAUGUCAAGCGAAUCGAGCGAACCAGUUGCUUUUCCACAAUAUCCAGGCAACAGGCCGGAGGCUACAGCUUCCAGCAUUCACCUCUGGAUCAACGCGGGCAUAUGGAAUAAACAAGCAUGACAUGGUAUACAUUCCUGGUAGCGUCGAAACACAAUGAGAUGUCGUAAACGCAAGAAGAUGACAGAAAAUCGAUAGAACGCCUUCCAGAUCUGAACCGACUUGCUCCUUACGAUUCUUCGCUUUCUUUCAUGCUCGAGCAAACACAGUAACGUGAUGCUGACCUGAUAUUUUUCAGACGUUGCGUGUCUUACUGCUCUCUUCCUUCAUACUCGAUACUAUGCGUCAAAAAAUAUUGAGUCGCAAUAAUAUGUAUUGGUGAAUCGGAAACUAUUACUACUCUCGAUACUAUCCUGUUACGGUGACACGUCAUAGUCGUCAUGUCUCGACAAUUUGAUGUGAAAUCGAUAAAUUGCUCGAGGCCUGUUUUCUUUACAAAUACACAUUGUACACAUGUCUUUUAUCCGUAAUUCUGUGCAAGAAUAUAUUAUUGCGUUUAUCAGACAGGUGGAUAAAACGCAUGCGAUUGAGACAGUAGUAUUUAAAUAAUAAAGUGCAAAGAACGCAUGUCUUAGUAUGUAAUUUUUUUAAAUAAAUAUCUUGAUUAGCAUGUACAGAAAAAAUUAAAGAUUAAACAAAUAAUUUUUUACACUGGGAAAGUAUAUAACAUUAUGUAGUACAACGAUAAGAAGAAAAGAAAUCUUAAGACGGAAUGGUUCACCCUAGCUUCGACAAACACGCUUGCGUGCCUUAGUAUCGAUUUCACGUCAGUUUCAUGUCAUAAAGACGUCAAACACACGGUUUUCAUCAGGACAACAUCCUCGGCUUGAAUUUACGACCAGUGGCAAGCAACAGGUCCCGCGGGAACGUGUCCUCUCACAUGCAAAGAGAAUCUAAUUUCCCUCCACUUUUGUCAAACUAAGACUAUAUCAACAAUUUAUUUUCAUACAACGCACUUGUUUGUUAAUGAACCAACACUCUGUUCCAUAAUUAAACUCUUAGAAUUUGAACAACACCAAUGAAAAAUAGAAAUUAAAAAAUAUGCGAUAGAAUUGAUAUUUAAAAUAAAAUUUCAUUUUUAAAUGUGUAAA